GUUUGAUCCUGGCUCAGAGCGAACGUUAGCGGCAGGCUUAACACAUGCAAGUCGAGCGACAAAGGGGCUUCGGCCCUGAGUAGAGCGGCGGACGGGUGCGUAACACGUGGAUAAUCUGCCUCGUGGCGGGGGAUAACAGUCCGAAAGGACUGCUAAUACCGCAUGUCAGGUCGGAAACCCCGGUUUCUGACGAAAAAGAGGGCGCCCGCAAGGGGCUCUCACCACGAGAUGAGUCCGCGGCCCAUCAGCUAGUUGGCGGUGUAAUAGACCACCAAGGCUAAGACGGGUAGCUGGUCUGAGAGGAUGACCAGCCACACUGGGACUGAGACACGGCCCAGACUCCUACGGGAGGCAGCAGUGGGGAAUAUUGGACAAUGGGCGAAAGCCUGAUCCAGCCAUGCCGCGUGAGUGAUGAAGGUCUUCGGAUCGUAAAGCUCUGUGGGAAGGGACGAAAAA
rnacentral:rRNA from 1 species